rnacentral:rRNA from 1 species
GGCCAACCGGAGGAAGGUGGGGAUGACGUCAAAUCAUCAUGCCCCUUAUGACCUGGGCUACACACGUGCUACAAUGGACAGAACAAAGGGCAGCGAAACCGCGAGGUUAAGCCAAUCCCACAAAUCUGUUCUCAGUUCGGAUCGCAGUCUGCAACUCGACUGCGUGAAGCUGGAAUCGCUAGUAAUCGCGGAUCAGCAUGCCGCGGUGAAUACGUUCCCGGGCCUUGUACACACCGCCCGUCACACCACGAGAGUUUGUAACACCCGAAGUCGGUGAGGUAACCUUUUAGGAGCCAGCCGCCGAA